GGAUUAUGGCUCAGAUUGAACGCUGGCGGCAGGCCUUACACAUGCAAGUCGAGCGAGAAAUUUUCUUCGGAAAAGAGUAAAGCGGCGGACGGGUGAGUAACGCGUAGGAAUCUACCUAGUAGUGGGGGACAACAUGUGGAAACGCAUGCUAAUACCGCAUACGCCCUAUGGGGGAAAGCAGGGGAUCUUCGGACCUUGUGCUAUUAGAUGAGCCUGCGUCGGAUUAGUUUGUUGGUAGGGUAAUGGCCUACCAAGACUACGAUCCGUAGCUGGUCUGAGAGGAUGAUCAGCCACACUGGGACUGAGACACGGCCCAGACUCCUACGGGAGGCAGCAGUGGGGAAUAUUGGACAAUGGGCGCAAGCCUGAUCCAGCCAUGCCGCGUGUGUGAAGAAGGCUCUAGGGUUGUAAAGCACUUUCAGUAGGGAGGAAAAGUUAGUAGUUAAUAACUGCUAGCCCUGACGUACCUACAGAAGA
rnacentral:rRNA from 1 species